GACGAACCGUCCAAACGUUAUUCGGAAUCACUGGGCUUACAGAGUUCGUAGGCGGUCUGGAAAGUUGGGUGUGAAAUCCCUCGGCUCAACCGAGGAACUGCGCUUGAAACUACCAGACUCGAGGGAGAUAGAGGAAAGCGGAACUGAUGGUGGAGCGGUGAAAUGCGUUGAUAUCAGCAGGAACACCGGUGGCGAAGGCGGCUUUCUGGGUCUUACCUGACGCUGAGGAACGAAAGCCAGGGGAGCGAACGGG
rnacentral:rRNA from 1 species